UAUAACUGUUGGAGAUGAAGACUGAAACAACUCAUAGAGUGUGUGUUGUCUAGCUGAAGCUUCUUCUUUCGUAACUAAUGAGACUGGAGUCUAAUAACAGCACUACAUUU